rnacentral:rRNA from 1 species
UACCUACGGGGGGCAGCAGUGGGGAAUAUUGCACAAUGGGGGAAACCCUGAUGCAGCGACGCCGCGUGAGUGAAGAAGUAUCUCGGUACGUAAAGCUCUAUCAGCAGGGAAGAAAAUGACGGUACCUGACUAAGAAGCCCCGGCUAACUACGUGCCAGCAGCCGCGGUAAUACGUAGGGGGCAAGCGUUAUCCGGAUUUACUGGGUGUAAAGGGAGCGUAGACGGCAGCGCAAGUCUGGAGUGAAAUGCCGGGGCCCAACCCCGGAACUGCUUUGGAAACUGUGCAGCUCGAGUGCAGGAGAGGG